UUUAAAUUGCUCUCCAAUUUGAUAACAUUAUCUCACCUUGGCCGUUGAAACUACGAAAUUUAAAUAAAAUGUUAUUAAAAAUGAAGGAUAAAAAAGGGAGAAGUAGAAUGCAAUGUCUCAAAGCAGGAUGUGAUUGUGAUGAAUACACAAAAGAGAAAGGUUUUGAUUUGUGUGCCUAUUGUGAUCAUGCACCAGUUUUACAUAAAGAAUCAGCUACUUUGAGCCAAAGUGAAAUAGACUUCAGUUUGGACAAUAACAAAGUAACAAGCCCAUUGAAGAAACAGUGUAUACAACAAGCUAAGCCAUUUCAAGAUACAGCUGGUAAAAUAGUUUUGCAUCAAAAACUGUACUUCAUCAUAAAAACAAUACUCUUUUUGAGAAUGGUUUAGCCUCGAUCCUGAAUUCUUGCACAGAUGGGAUUAUUGUGUUAAGUGCUUUAAAUCUAACCUUUAGUUUACGCAGCAAGUUGGCUAGAAUAGUAGUCAACUAUAUUAUUUAAAAGAAAGGAUUGCAAAGAAGCAAUUCAAGAUGACCUUAUUUGGAAUUAAACUUAAUAGUCAACCAUGGACUGAAGCGUGCCAUAAAUGGAAAUCAACUUCAAAAUUUAGGUUGAAAUGUUUUCAAUCUGGCACCAAAGACAUUCCAAAUUUUAAACUUCUUUUGGAUCUAAAAGCAGAUGCAUUGGUAAAUAUCGAUUUUACUCAAUUGAGUAUGCAAAAGAAUUAUGAGCAUUGUAGCAACUUUAUGUUUCAAAAAAUUCCACUACAUGCAAAAAAAUUGAUAGGCUUAGUUGCCAAGAAAUAUUCCAUGCAAGAUGGGGUAGAAGAUGAGACAGCUGCUCUUUUGGCUAUUGUGCGAUUGACAUACUGCAAAUGUUCCAUCCAUUUAUGCAAAGAAACAAAGAGAAAAUCCUGGACUCCUAGUGUUAAAGAAUGUGGUGAAUCAUUUCUUUUUCUAGCCAAUUCAGUUGAAAAUGCUGAGCAAUCAAUUAAUAACAUCAGGAUCUUAUAUAAUGACCUGAAGCUGACACUUCAACCUUUAGUUUAUGCUGUUCCACCAAACAUUGCUGUUGUUGUGUACAACAAUCACAGAUGGUCAUUUGAAAGCCCUUUGAAAACAAUGGAUUUUUUGUUUAAACUGAUUCAAAUCUUGGAUAAGGAAUACAAUAUUGCAAGUUUUCCAGCUUGGAUGUUUUUGCAAAUAUAUAUAUAUAUUGUUUUAAUUGCCCCGAUUUUGACGUAUCAUGCCCGAAAGCAAGUGAAUUGGCUUCUGAGUUGAUCUGAAAUUUGGCACACUUGUUUGUAACACAUGUAUUUGCAACCUCUACUAGAAUUAUGUUUACAGUUAAUUGUGUUCUACUUUUGUGAGUGAUUUUGUGUCCUCAAAUAACACCAAAACUUCCAAAUAUGACUAAAAUGCAUAUAUUUUGACUUUUUUUUGGUCAAAACUCAAAACUUUUAGUGUAUGUUGUUAUUGUAUUAGUAAAGGAUCACAAGCCAAAAUUUCAUUUCAAAUUUAUUUACGGUUGCU
rnacentral:misc_RNA from 1 species